GCCAGCGACGCGGCGGAGAGUGUGCUCUGUAGUGGGGCGCGGUAGUAAAAUUGGGGUGGGGGCGUGAGAAAACAGCAGACGGAGAUCGGGAGUGCUGAGUAAGGAGCCCGGAGGCAGAGGGAGUAACUCCAGUGGACUCUCGUGUACUCCCUCCGGAGACCAAGUUUGUCAUCUGAGGACACAAUUUGGAUAAGAAGCUCCUGAAGACCAUCUGAACCAACUUCUACCAAGUUCUCUGAUUCCCUUGAGUGACAAUUCAGAGAUUUCCCCCUACUGCAUCCAUCUCUUCUCUGCCAGUGUAAGAUUCAACAGCCUACACCAGUCUUGAGCCUGCCUGUGAUCUGCAUUUAUUGUUCCAGAAGACUCCAGGUGUUACGAAUACCAGUUACCAACACUUAUAAACUCAUGAACCCGACUUCAAGCCCCAUCCAUCAUGCUCACCACUUUUUUGAUAUUAUCCUCCGAAAUCUUCCCUCUUAUUUUCCUUCUAACACCCAAGAGAUCACCAGUACCCAACUUACAGAUUUUGUUCUUGAUCUCUUUCUCCAAGGUGAUCUCAUGGAUUUCACUUGGGAUGAGGUAAUGCAGUUUCUGGAACUUCCGUAAAAAUAUACUAUUAUGUUAAAUAAUAAUAA